CCGAUACGAAAUAUUCAGCAUUCUAUUCACUGCACCAUUCAAACUAAUGAAUGAUUGGAGGGGAAAAGAAGCGCAAGAAAAAAAGUAAUGGAAUUGGUUUUUUUUUGAAAAUCAAUUUUAUUCUGGAAAUUACGUCCUCAUACUGAGACAGGAGCUUAAUUGUCUUACUCUUGUAUUGGUAUCUGCGUAUUCCGAACAUCU
rnacentral:snoRNA from 1 species